CCUACGGGUGGCAGCAGUGGGGAAUAUUGGACAAUGGGGGGAACCCUGAUCCAGCGACGCCGCGUGAGUGAAGAAGUAUUUCGGUAUGUAAAGCUCUAUCAACAGGGAAGAAAGGAAUGACGGUACCUGACUAAGAAGCCCCGGCUAACUACGUGCCAGCAGCCGCGGUAAUACGUAGGGGGCAAGCGUUAGCCGGAUUUACAGGGUGUAAAGGGAGAGUAGACGGUUACGUAAGUCUGGAGUGAAAGGCGGGGGCCCAACCCCCGGACUGCUUUUGAAACUGUAUAGCUGGAGUGCAGGAGAGGUAAGUGGAAUUCCUAGUGUAGCGGUGAAAUGCGUAGAUAUUAGGAGGAACACCAGUGGCGAAGGCGGCUUACUGGACUGUAACUGACGUUGAGGCUCGAAAGCGUGGGGAGCAAACAGGAUUAGAUACCCUAGUAGUC
rnacentral:rRNA from 1 species